GCCUCUAUAGCUCAAUUGGUAGAGCAUCUGACUCUUAAUCAGCAGGUUCUUGGUUCGACUCCAAGUGGAGGCA
rnacentral:tRNA from 1 species